rnacentral:rRNA from 1 species
GCGCGGUGGUNCCACCUGAUCCCAUGCCGAACUCAGAAGUGAAACGCCGUAGCGCCGAUGGUAGUGUGGGGUCUCCCCAUGCGAGAGUAGGGAACUGCCAGGC